rnacentral:rRNA from 1 species
AAUGAACGUUGGCGGCGUGGAUUAGGCAUGCAAGUCGCGCGAGAAAUUUCCUUCGGGAGAUGGACAGCGGCGGAAGGGAGAGGAAUGAGUAGAAAUCUGCCCUCGGGACGGGGAUAGCGGCGGGAAACUGCCGGUAAUACCCGAUAACAUCUUAGGAUCAAAAUGGUGUGAUUCCGCCUGAGGAUGAGUCUACUUCCUAUUAGCUAGUUGGCGGGGUAAUGGCCCACCAAGGCAACGAUGGGUAGCGGGUGUGAGAGCACGAUCCGCCGUCACUGGGACUGAGACACUGCCCAGACACCUACGGGUGCUGCAGUCGAGAAUCUUCGGCAAUGGGGGAAACCCUGACCGAGCGACGCCGCGUGCGGGAU